GUUCUAAGGCGGAAGAGAUCUGUCCCUGGAGACACCCAACCGCAGGUUACUGGAUCCUGCACCAGCACAGAGCGGGGACAGGUCAUUAAGCUAACUCUCCUAGAUCCUGGUCUGAUAGCCGUUGCACAUGGAAGGUGCAGCCUGCCUGCUGAGAUAUAUGGGGAUUGGGGUGGUUGGAAUGCUUUGUUAUAUAGAACGUCAUUUAUUUGUACUUGCCACCCUGGUUACAAGUUACAAGCCGACCUCUGCAGCAUGUUGUACUUACUGUGAGUGCACUCCCUGCGUACAGCAAAUGUACGUUAUAAGGGCAUGCCGUGUGGUGGUGAUGGCAGCUGGAGAUGUUUCUGUGCUCAUUUUUCUAAAGCCGAGGUGUUUAAAAAUAUUUGUAAUUGCGGUCAUAGUGCUCUGCACGUAACAUAUACUGACUAUUUUUAAUUUGGGCAUGUGGUGUGCCCUGACCGCCGUAUAGGUAAUCCUACAGACAAUCACCCAGGAGUAUGUAUGGCAACAAAAUAGCAAACUAAAGGGAUGCAAUUUUGAUAAGGCUGCAAAUACCCCCGGGUUUAGCUGAAAAGGGCUAGGUGUAUAGGAUGGGAAAACAUCAUACUGUUAAUGGACCCACGUACAUCUCAACAUUUUAAAAGGACAAAGAGGGUGAAUUUAAAUUUAGGGGUGUGACCAAGGGCAAAGCUGUUUACAAACACAUUACUGGGAGUAUAAGUGCUGUGGAACUCUGUUAUACAUUUAGACACUGCAACAAUAUGGAGCUCCUUGAAAAGAGGGACAAAGGGAUUUCUCCGCCUACAGCGAUGUUGGCAUCCCAGUUAACAUCACCUAUGAUAUCCUCCAAUUCAUUGGUUCUCUAUGAGAAUAUGCAUGCGCCAACAAAGCUGCACUCUUCAU